AGCUUUGUAUUCAAUUAUGAUUUUAGACUGCAAUUCUAAAGGUGUGGAUAAAAAAUUUCUACUAAAGCUU
rnacentral:tRNA from 1 species